rnacentral:tRNA from 1 species
UAAGGUAAAGCUUUAUUUAAGCUUUUUAUUUACGCUAAUUAGAUUCCAGUUGGAUACCUUAU